GCAUACGACGCUGGCUAUUGCGAUGAAUAAAAUUGGAGGGAAGUCAAAUACAGGUGAGGGAGGUGAACAACCAUCUCGCAUGGUGCCUCUUCCUAAUGGUUCAACUAAUCCAAAGAGAAGUGCAAUCAAGCAGGUUGCAAGUGGGAGAUNGAGUUUCAAGUUAUUAUCUUACAAAUGCUGAUGAACUACAGAUCAAGAUGGCUCAGGGGGCUAAGCCUGGGGAAGGUGGUGAGCUUCCUGGCCACAAGGUCAUAGGAGACAUUGCAGUUACCAGAAAUUCUACAGCUGGGGUGGGACUUAUCAGUCCUCCUCCCCAUCAUGAUAUCUACUCAAUUGAAGACCUUGCCCAGUUGAUUCAUGACCUUAAGAAUGCCAAUCCAGGUGCUCGAAUUAGUGUCAAAUUAGUAUCUGAAGCUGGUGUGGGGGUAAUUGCUAGCGGUGUCGUGAAGGGGCAUGCUGACCAUGUGUUGAUCUCAGGUCACGAUGGAGGUACAGGGGCUUCUAGGUGGACUGGCAUCAAGAAUGCUGGGCUCCCUUGGGAACUAGGUUUGGCUGAGACCCAUCAAACUCUUGUUGCUAAUGACCUUCGUGGCCGCACAGUUCUUCA
rnacentral:misc_RNA from 1 species